rnacentral:rRNA from 1 species
AUUGAACGCUGGCGGCAUGCCUUACACAUGCAAGUCGAACGGCAGCACGGGGGGUAACCCCUGGUGGCGAGUGGCGAACGGGUGAGUAAUAUAUCGGAACGUGUCCUGUAGCGGGGGAUAACCUAUCGAAAGAUGGACUAAUACCGCAUACGACCUACGGGUGAAAGCGGAGGACCGCAAGGCUUCGCACUAUAGGAGCGGCCGAUAUCGGGUUAGCUAGUUGGCGGGGUAACGGCCCACCAAGGCGACGAUCCGUAGCUGGUCUGAGAGGACGAUCAGCCACACUGGAACUGAGACACGGUCCAGACUCCUACGGGAGGCAGCAGUGGGGAAUUUUGGACAAUGGGCGCAAGCCUGAUCCAGCCAUGCCGCGUGAGUGAAGAAGGCCUUCGGGUUGUAAAGCUCUUUCGGCGGGGACGAAACGGUUCGUGCUAAUACCACGGACUACUGACGGUACCCGCAGAAGAAGCACCGGCUAACUACGUG